rnacentral:rRNA from 1 species
AGUUUGAUCCUGGCUCAGAUUGAACGCUGGCGGAAUGCUUUACACAUGCAAGUCGAACGGCAGCACGAGAGCUUGCUCUUGGUGGCGAGUGGCGAACGGGUGAGUAAUAUAUCGGAACGUAUCCAAUAAUGGGGGAUAACUAAUCGAAAGGUUGGCUAAUACCGCAUACGCCCUACGGGGGAAAGCAGGGGAUCUUCGGACCUUGCGUUAAUGGAGCGGCUGAUAUCUGAUUAGCUAGUAGGUGAGGUAAAGGCUCACCUAGGCGACGAUCAGUAGCUGGUCUGAGAGGACGACCAGCCACACUGGAACUGAGACACGGUCCAGACUCCUACGGGAGGCAGCAGUGGGGAAUUUUGGACAAUGGGCGCAAGCCUGAUCCAGCCAUUCCGCGUGAGUGAAGAAGGCCUUCGGGUUGUAAAGCUCUUUCGCAAGGGAAGAAACGAUACAGACGAAUAAUCUGUGUUAAUGACGGUACCUUGAUAAGAAGCACCGGCUAACUACGUGCCAGCAGCCGCGGUAAUACGUAGGGUGCGAGCGUUAAUCGGAAUUACUGGGGCGUAAAGCGUGCGCAGGCCGAUGCAACGCGAAAACCCUUACCUGGGCCUUGACAUGUACCCGAAUUUGUGAGAGAUCACUUAGUGCUCGAAAGAGAACGGUAACACAGGUGCUGCAUGGCUGUCGUCCAGCUCGUGUCGUGAGAUGUUGGGGUUAAGUCCCGCAACGAGCGCAACCCUUGCCAUUAAUUGCCAUCAUUUAGUUGGGCACUUUAAUGGGACUGCCGGUGACAAACCGGAGGAAGGUGGGGAUGACGUCAAGUCCUCAUGGCCCUUAUGGCCAGGGCUUCACACGUAAUACAAUGGUCGGUACAGAGGGUUGCCAACCCGCGAGGGGGAGCCAAUCCCAGAAAGCCGAUCGUAGUCCGGAUUGUAGUCUGCAACUCGACUGCAUGAAGUCGGAAUCGCUAGUAAUCGCGGAUCAGCAUGUCGCGGUGAAUACGUUCCCGGGCCUUGUACACACCGCCCGUCACACCAUGGGAGUGGGUUUCACCAGAAGUAGUUAGUCUAACCGCAAGGGGGACGAUUACCACGGUGGGAUUCAUGACUGGGGUGAAGUCGUAACAAGGUAGCCG